AUGGAGCCCUAUGUUGGGCUCUGCCCUCAGUGGAGAGUCCACUUGAGAUUCUCUCUGCCUCUCUCUCUGCCCCUCUUGUCUCCUCUCUCUGUCAAACAAAUAAAUCUUAAAAAUAAAAUUAAAAUAAAACAGAUCUCUCAACGUCACCACUUUCAGAAUGCAUCUAACCAGCGAAUUCCAAAGCAGCUGGUUUCUCCCUGGACACAGUGUUACAUAAGGGUCUCUAACAAAACAUUUCCCAACAUACUUGGUACAUUCCAGCAUUGUUUAAUCAUUACCAUCAAAACAAAACUCAGUAUUCAGAGAAGUGUGUUUUUCUUCUGCAGUCCCCUUCCUCCUUCCAUUUUUUUUUUUUUUUAAAGUAAGUAGGCCCCCCACCCAGGGUAUAGACCAAUAUGGCCUGAACUGUAAGCGGGACUUGGAUUCUCGGCCCUAGAUUAAGACCCGCAUACUUUACAGCCCGAGUCACCACGGCGUCCUGCUUCCCUUCGUAUUUUGAUUCCGUCAAUCAUCUCUUAAAGAAUGAUUAUAGUUCUAUUUGAUUGAUUUUAAAAUGAACUGCCUACAGUGCGCCAGAACAAACUGCAAAAACAUUUACCGAACUUUAACUAUUUGCAGGGUUUUUAUUUUUUAAUGAUUUUCUUCCUACAAAACCUUUUCCAUCUUCAAGAAUGUCAGUAAGAUCCACGUGCUUUAGCUAAGGCAUCCCUGAAGCUGCCGUCACGCAAUGUCCCAUUGGGGUUGCUGGAAUAAAUGAACGAAGGCCCCGACUGGAGAGUCAGAGUUGGGGCUGGUAUGUGCUGUCUGCAGCUGGGCAACGCGAAAGAUCUGGAGCACCCUGGGGCUGGCAAUCCUGAAGGUAGACCCAAAACUGCACAUUAAAAAAAAAAAAAAAAAAAAAAAAGAUUUUAUUUAUCAUCAAUCUAUCAUCUAUUAUCUAUCAUCUAUCUACUAUCGGUCAUCUAUAUGUGUAUCUAUCAUCUAUCUACCUAUCAUCUAUUAUCUAUCAUCUGUCUAUAAUCUAUCAUCUAUCAAUUAUCUAUCAUCUAUCAUCUAUUAUCUAUUAUCUAUCUACUAUCAAUUAUCUAUCAUCUAUCUAUCUAUCUACUUGUCUGAGAGAGAGCCAGGCAGCACAGAGCAAGGGGAGGGGAAGAGGGUGAGGGAGCAGAGGCUUCCCGCCCAGCUGGGAGCCCCAGGGCACCCCCGUCCCGGGACCAAGGUCAUGGCCUGAGCACCAGGCGCCCACACUUUCACAGCCCUGAGCAGCUCAGCAGGAGCGGCCUGCAGCCUCCGGGGCCCAGCCGGGGGCCGCUGCCUCUGGGCCGUGGGGUGCAGCAGUUCCAGGACGGGAGGUGGAGGGAGGGACCGGCUGUCGGAGCCACGAGGCCACAGCAGGUGCCCGCUGCAGAAGGUGGGCCGGGCGGGCUCAGCUGAGCGCUGACUUGGAAACAGGAACUCUGUCCAGAAGCUAUUUUCACAGGUCGUGGGGUUAGAGACCUGCCUGCCCUGAGCAGGUACCUGCGAACUUGUGGCCCGCCAGGCGGACACCAGGGACCUGGACACCGGGGACCCCCACCAGGUGGGAAGGGCGCACUGGGGACACGGCCACUCCCCGGUUCGAACUGCAAUUUGAACCUGACGAACGUCUCCCUGGAACGAUGCCAGAAGGUUCAGGAGGAACACGCUUUGUGUGUUAAUUCAUCUGUUCGUGUGGGAAAGGUUAUGUGUCCAUUGGGCUUCGGACAUGCGAACUGCGAGUCGGGAACUGCAGCAGGAGCCCGCAGGAGCGCCUCUGGGUGAGGAAACCCCGGUGGAAUGAAGCUAAGGCGACUGAGAAAAUCGGAUUUUCUUUUAAGCUGUUAUCUAUUUAUUCCUGAGAAGCGGGGAGAGAGGCAGAGACCCAGGCCCAGGGAGUUGCGGGGACCCCGACUCAGGCUUCGAUCCUGACCCCGGGGCACGGCCUGGGUCCCCCCCCUCCCUGCAGGUGCUCAGCCCCUGGCCUGGGGCCCUGGAAGAUGCGGCCUGAGGCUACGGCUGCGGCUCAGGGCUCCCCGUGGAUGCCCCCGUGACCUGGGGACACCCGGGCCCAGCGCGAGGCCACGGCCGGGGACCCCCAGAUGCCGGCCUGGCCACGGGGGACGUCACCGAGGCCCCGAGCUCCCCCGCUGGAGCCCGAGCCCCGCGCUUGUCACUGGCACCCUAACUUAGCAGCAGCAAUUUUUUAAAAAUGUCCUUUAAAAAAAAUCAUAAUCCAGCAUUCGCAGGCUCACUUUCCUCACAGCAGCCGUGACCGGUGUUCCGGGGGCACGUGGUCCUGGUUUUGGACACGGGCUAGGUCCCCCGCUUGCCACGUGCCCGCCCGAGGAGCCUUGGGCCUCCACCACCUGUGGGUCGCCCUGAGCCACUUUGUCUUCUCACCGAGUGCCAGCCUGCGGGGGGGGGGGGGGGGGGGCACGAGCCACGCAAGCCUGGGGACCGGGCCGCGCUUCCCUGACCCGACAGCACUUUCCCCCACCCCCAACCCCUUUCCGGGAACCCCACCAGGCCAGGAGGGGGAGCACACUCAGCCGGAGCACGACGGUGUAUUUUUGAAGUCACCUAAUCUUAUGACUAGAGAAUAACAAAAUUGCGCGUAGUGACCACCACCGGCCGCAGCGCAAAGGGAACAAAGAAGCCAUCGCAAAAUCCUACCUAGCGAGGUAUGUCGUCUUUAGUGUCUUCCUCCAAGGCCCUCUGCUGCCUGCACCUCCCCUGACAGUCCCUCUGCGCCCCGCAGCCUCCUUGUAGGGUAAGGCGGCACCAUCCCGGAGCCCCCUGGGCCCAGUCCCCCCUUGAGGCUCCGGAAGCUGCACCUGCCGCCCCUGGGGCCCCACCUUGUCCCCACCGAGCCACAGCGAUCUGCCCCAGCGCUGGUGCCCGCUCUCCCUGCGAGGCUGCCGGGUCGCUGCCCAAGGAAGUGCUCUCGUGCACAAAUUCUGUUUCUCUGCCCGCCCCUCGGUGGGGGGCUUAACCCCCCAUCCUCAGCCUGAGCUCCAUCAUCUUCCCACGGGGACAACGUUCCCAGCUACCUGGUACACAGCCAGCUUGCCAUGGGUCCGCUCCAUUUCUCCAUGCCCCCGACCGCCCAGAUUUCUGACACAUUUGAGAUUUUCUCAAUCCUGCUAAAGUCCAACGAGUUCCAAAAACGCCUACUGGACCCGUUGGGCCUUUAGACCCACCUGAUGGGAUGCGGUUGAGCUUUGACAGGCUCGCGGAAAGGAAGUGACUUAAAUCAGAAGCAGGCUUUUGGUGUCAAAUGGUCUUGUCUGUGUGGUUGUUUUUCUUCCUAGAUGGUUCCAGAAAAAAUAAAUACGGUUCUUUGUGAGUGUCUACUUUGGAAAUUGUUUCUUUUCCCUUCUUUGUCAUUCUCUGUGUGAAUUCCAAGGGGCCGCGAAAGAGGAUUUUCCAGGAGCAAAAGGAAGAGAAGAGCCAGCGAAAGACUCUGCAUGCCUGGGUCUGUAGCAUGUCACGCUUGCGGGUGAGCCACCGGCCAGCCAGCCACAGGGUCACUGUUAAAAGCUCCCCUGGCUCCUUGGCUUCAGGAAAAUAAGUACCCUUUAGUUCUAAAAUCAGCUUGAAAAGUUCUCUUUAAGAUCCUGGUAACUGGGGGCACCUGGUGGCUCAGCGGGUGAGCGUCUGCCUCCAGCCCAGGGCGUGACCCCGGGUCCCCGGAUCGAGUCCCGCGUUGGGCUCCUGCAUGGAGCCUGCUUCUCCCUCUGCCUGGGUCUCUGCCUCUCUCGGUGUCUCUCAUGAGUAAAUAAAUAAAAUCCUGGUAACUAUGCCAGAAAUGACUUAGAUAACUAGGCGGUUUAAGGCCAAACUUUUAACAUAUAAAGUAUUUUAAGGAGAAAAAAAGAUUUUUUAAGAAGGCCAAUUCCAAGGAAAGCAAAGAUGACGCCUUGCAAUGUGGGAAGGAGCUGAGUCGGACCCAGGCAGCCACGCUUCCCCGGGCCGGGGACUCGGAGCAACAUGAUCCGAAACCAAAAAACUGACACAGCAACUUUCAUUCAAGGAUCUUGAAGUUUCCUUUUACAAAAGGAAAACCACCUAAGAGUCCGUGCACGGGGCACGUUCGGGACUUUACCCUCGUCCUGGGAACCAGUUUCUUGGCCUCAGCAUGACUGGCCCUCAGGGCUGCGACGCUUGGUGGUGGGGCGGACCAGCACGCCCUGCCCAGCACCCCCCACCCAGCACCCCCGGCCCAGCACCCCAGCCCAGCACCCCAGCCCAGCACCCCCCGCCCAGCACCCCCGGCCCAGCACGCCCCGCCCAGCACCCCAG
rnacentral:lncRNA from 1 species